GAUGAACGCUGGCGGCGUGCUUAAUACAUGCAAGUCGAACGGAGACAGUAGCAAUAUUGUCUUAGUGGCGAACGGGUGAGUAACGCGUUGGUGACCUGCCCCGAAGAGAGGGAUAACAGUUCGAAAGGACUGCUAAUACCCCAUGAUAUCUGCCCAGUUAGAGAAGGCAGAUGAAAGGAGCAAUCCGCUUUGGGAGGGGCCUGCGUCCCAUCAGCUAGUUGGUAAGGUAAAAGCUUACCAAGGCGAAGACGGGUAGGGGACCUGAGAGGGUGACCCCCCACACUGGCACUGAAACACGGGCCAGACACCUACGGGUGGCAG
rnacentral:rRNA from 1 species